GUUCGGCGCGCGCUCUGCUCACAGUGCCCGAGGCGACGCCGCUCGCAGCAGUGGGCGAAGCUCAGCGCGACUUCUACUGAAGGCUUCAACCGAAGUGAUAAAGGCUCUUUCCGCCAACCGUAUGGAAGAAUGUACUCCGCAAUUUCUACCCAAGGGUUUCUGCCGGCCCUCGUCUCUUUACCUAUUUGAUCCUCGCCGGCCGGAGUGGCCGAGCGGUUCUAGGCACUGCAGUCUGGACCGGCGAGACCGCUACGGUCGCAGCUUCGAAUCCUGCCUCGGGCACGGAUGUGCGUGUUGUUCUUAGAUCCUGAUGGUCGAGAAAAGCUGUGUCCUGUCAAGUCAGCGAGUUUGCUACGCCCAGCCGACUGCUGAAUCACGGCGUGCGGCAAAGAUAACAACUACGAUGCAGUUGGCCACUACGAACGUUUGCCGGCGGCUGCUAAGAAGAAACACUUAUUGUUAAAGAGAGAAUUAGAGUGACAUGUUUGUUGCAGAGAAUGGUUCUUGGGUUGUCCUUUCAGAAUUUCUGUAGUAGUGUCCAAAUGCUGUUCUAGUAAUGAGCCUCGCGGGAGCUUAUCUCAAGAGUGUGAUGAGAUCGGUUCACACGUUCGAUACGUGAAUUAGUCUGCAAUGGGGGAUAGAACUCAAGUGUGUUGAAAGCAGUUCUAAGUCGUUUGAAAAGAAGUUAUAAGAGUACUAUGGGCUUGUGUAGAAAACGAUUAUUCUGCCGAUUUAGGUAGGGUGUAGACUCGCCAAGUGUAGGAAAAGCUCCGAUGUGUUGAGGGGUGAGAUUAGUGUCUCCUAUGUGCGAUCAGUGGUGCUUUGUGCUACUUAACAGCCACGCGUUUGUAGGCGAACUGUGUUUCAAUCUUUUUGAGAGAUUUCCCGUUGUAUGGCAUAUGUGAAGAGAGGUGUUCACGCGAAGUCGUGUAGUUAUAUUGUGGUUGAGCAUUAAAGCACGCACUAAGGGACAGUGGUGUUGCAUUGUGUAAUUGUGGUUGUGUAGAUGUACGCAAGAACUGAGAAAUAGUGACUUAGCGAUAUUUGGUUAGGAUUUACUGUGUGACUGCGGCGUGAGCGUCGUAAUAUAGUAAAUUCCGGAAAUCUUGUUGAAUGCACUGAAUGUGUAGUCUACGUUAGAGUACGGUCGUCCUACGUAUUAGUUAUUUAUCGAGAAACACUCGGAAGUGUACUGAGAAUCUGAUAGCUUUUCCCCUUGUCUCUAAACGACAAAUCAAGAACCACCUAUUAACGAACACACUAAGUCUCCGUAAAAGAGAUCGUCAAGUGCUGAGUUUUGGGUUUUAAAUAUUAGUGAGUCGCGGAAGUCAACGUCUGAAGUGGUUGAGCUUUGACUGAUUAUUUAAAAUUCGUCUAGUUAAAAAGUGACAUUCAGAUUUAUUGUUCCAUUUUUUAAUUACAUUUCCGCAUAGCGUGGUUUGGAACA